UACGGAGGGUGCAAGCGUUGUCUGGAAUCACUGGGCGUAAAGGGCGCGUAGGCGGCUCAUGAAGGCUGUGGUGAAAGUCCGGGGCUCAACCUCGGAUCGGCCGUGGCGACUCGUGGGCUGGAGCACUGUAGAGGCGGGUGGAAUUCCGGGUGGAGUGGUGAAAUGCGUAGAGAUCCGGAGGAACACCAAAGGCGAAGGCAGUGUCCUGGGGAGUACCUGACGCUCAGGUGCGAAAGCCAGGGGAGCGAACGGG
rnacentral:rRNA from 1 species